rnacentral:rRNA from 1 species
CCUACGGGGGGCAGCAGUGAGGAAUAUUGGUCAAUGGGCGGGAGCCUGAACCAGCCAAGUAGCGUGAAGGAUGACAGCCCUAUGGGUUUUAAACUUCUUUUAUAAGGGAAUAAAGUGCCCCACGUGUGGGGUUUUGUAUGUACCUUAUGAAUAAGCAUCGGCUAAUUCCGUGCCAGCAGCCGCGGUAAUACGGAAGAUGCGAGCGUUAUCCGGAUUUAUUGGGUUUAAAGGGAGCGUAGGCGGUUCCAUAAGUCAGCGGUAAAAUCGUGCGGCUCAACCGUACCGUGCCGUUGAAACUGUGGGACUUGAGUAUGCGCAGGGUACAUGGAAUUCGUGGUGUAGCGGUGAAAUGCUUAGAUAUCACGAAGAACCCCGAUUGCGAAGGCAGCAUGCCGGCUUCCGACUGACGCUGAAGCACGAAAGCGUGGGGAUCGAACAGGAUUAGAUACCCUUGUAGUC